rnacentral:rRNA from 1 species
AACGAACGCUGGCGGCAGGCUUAACACAUGCAAGUCGAGCGCCCCGCAAGGGGAGCGGCAGACGGGUGAGUAACGCGUGGGAAUCUACCGAGCCCUAAGGAAUAGCUCCGGGAAACUGGAAUUAAUACCUUAUACGCCCUUCGGGGGAAAGAUUUAUCGGGGUUUGAUGAGCCCGCGUUGGAUUAGCUAGUUGGGGGGGUAAAGGCCUACCACGGCGACGAUCCAUGGCUGGUCUGAGAGGAUGAUCAGCCACAUUGGGACUGAGACACGGCCCAAACUCCUACGGGGGGCAGCAGUGGGGAAUAUUGGACAAUGGGCGCAAGCCUGAUCCAGCCAUGCCGCGUGAGUGAUGAAGGCCCUAGGGUUGUAAAGCUCUUUCACCGGUGAAGAUAAUGACGGUAACCGGAGAAGAAGCCCCGGCUAACUUCGUGCCAGCAGCCGCCGUAACAC